GUCGGCCGACGCCACAGGGGAUUGUUAAACAUCUGCACUGAGGCCUGUACCUUUCCCAACUGAUAUUUCAAACGUCAAACACAAUCACGAGGAAACACGACCAAGAACUGGUGAGACGUGGACACGCCCAUCUGUGGAGGCCCCACGUUCCAUCGGCUCACCAUCCAACCCGCGCUGACCACCACGACCGUUCCGCACGGACCACCGGCUGCAAAUUGUCCUUCGUAAUGGCAGCUUUGAAGUCAAAGGAAUGAUCAUAUCAGCGCGCGAGUAUUAAAGUUCCCCUGAAGGAACCCUCCUGUUUUAUCCCUUUUAUGGCCGCUGUCUUUUUACAGAUUUGACCGCCUUUCUGGAGCGAGUAACACCAAAGUUAAUGGCGA
ensembl:lncRNA